rnacentral:rRNA from 1 species
UACGUAGGGGGCUAGCGUUGUCCGGAUUUAUUGGGCGUAAAGAGCGUGUAGGCGGCCAGGUAGGUCUGGUGUGAAAACUCGAGGCUUAACCUCGAGAUGUCAUCGGAAACCAUCUGGCUAGAGCCCGGAAGAGGAGAGUGGAAUUCCUGGUGUAGCGGUGAAAUGCGCAGAUAUCAGGAAGAACACCAAUGGCGAAAGCAGCUCGCUGGGACGGUACUGACGCUGAGACGCGAAAGCGUGGGGAGCGAACAGG